AUGACACUCUGCAGCAAAACGGCAAAGUUGGAAACGACAUCCAUGAUGGACCAGCUGCCAGUCUUGAAGAAUCUGGUCUCCAUCUGCAUUUAUGUGGGUAAAUUUGCAAACUGGAGAAAAUGGGGAUAUACCAGAAACUUAGAAUGGAUUUGUAGGAGAUUUUCAAACUACCUGCAUGGAGCAUGUCAUGUUUUAGUAAUAAGUACAAAAUAUUUUGAUCAAAUGAGGUAUAAGCUAACUUUCUCCGAGGACAAAGUUUCCCACCGUUUUGUGGAGAAGAUGUGUUUUGAACAAGAUGCUGGAUGA
rnacentral:lncRNA from 1 species